UGUGUAGGCGGUUGCUUAAGUUUGGUGUGAAAUCUCCCGGCUCAACUGGGAGGGUGCGCCGAAUACUGAGUGACUCGAGUGCGGGAGAGGAGAGUGGAAUUCCUGGUGUAGCGGUGAAAUGCGUAGAUAUCAGGAGGAACACCGGUGGUGUAGACGGCUCUCUGGACCGUAACUGACGCUGAGACACGAAAGCGUGGGUAGCAAACA
rnacentral:rRNA from 1 species